UACGAGGGAUCCUAGCGUUGUUCGGAAUUAUUGGGCGUAAAGGGUGUGUAGGCGGUUCUACAAGUCAGUUGUGAAAGCCCCGGGCUCAACCCGGGAAGUGCUUCUGAUACUGUUGAACUUGAGUACUGGAGAGGUGAGUGGAAUUCCAGGUGUAGUGGUGAAAUACGUAGAUAUCUGGAGGAACACCGGUGGCGAAGGCGGCUCACUGGCCAUGUACUGACGCUGAAACACGAAAGCGUGGGGAGCAAACAGG
rnacentral:rRNA from 1 species